CCGGCGCACGGGUGAGUAACGCGUAUGCAAUCUGCCUGAUACCGGGGUAUAGCCCAUGGAAACGUGGAUUAACACCCCAUAGUACUUUUAUCCUGCAUGGGAUGUGAGUUAAAUGUUCAAGGUAUCGGAUGGGCAUGCGUCCUAUUAGUUAGUUGGCGGGGUAACAGCCCACCAAGACGAUGAUAGGUAGGGGUUCUGAGAGGAAGGUCCCCCACAUUGGAACUGAGACACGGUCCAA
rnacentral:rRNA from 1 species